AUACUUAACUGGCAGGAGAGACACCAUGAUCAUAAAGGUGGUUUUCCCAAGGCGAGGCUUGCCCAUUGCACCCCAGAUGUACUGACCCCUGAGAUUUCCGCAAAUGUGGGAAACUCAACCGCAUAAUUUGUGGUAGUGGGAGAUUUCAUUUUGCUUUUCUCUG